rnacentral:rRNA from 1 species
UACGGAGGGUGCAAACGUUGCUCGGAAUCAUUGGGCGUAAAGCGCACGUAGCGGUCUCUUAAGUCGGGAGUGAAAGCCCUGGGCUCAACCCAGGAAGUGCUUUCGAAACUGAGAGGCUUGAGUAUGGAAGAGGGUCGCGGAAUUCCCGGUGUAGAGGUGAAAUUCGUAGAUAUCGGGAGGAACACCAGUGGCGAAGGCGGCGACCUGGGCCAAUACUGACGCUGAGGUGCGAAAGCGUGGGGAGCAAACAGG